rnacentral:rRNA from 1 species
UACGAAGGGGGCUAGCGUUGUUCGGAAUUACUGGGCGUAAAGCGCGCGCAGGCGGUCUUCCAAGUCAGUGGUGAAAGCCCGGAGCUCAACUCCGGAACUGCCAUUGAAACUGUAAGACUUGAGGAUGAGAGAGGUGAGUGGAAUUCCCAGUGUAGAGGUGAAAUUCGUAGAUAUUGGGAAGAACACCGGUGGCGAAGGCGGCGACCUGGUCCGAGACUGACGCUGAGGCGCGAAAGCGUGGGGAGCAAACAGG